UACAGGGGGUGCUAGCGUUGUUCGGAAUUACUGGGCGUAAAGGGCGCGUAGGCGGUUUUGCAAGUCAGAAGUGAAAUCCUGGAGCUUAACUCCAGAACUGCUCCUGAUACUGUAAGGCUAGAGUGAGUUAGAGGAUGGCCGGAAUUCCUAGUGUAGUGGUGAAAUACGUAGAUAUUAGGAAGAACACCGGUGGCGAAGGCGGCCAUCUGGGACUCUACUGACGCUGAGGCGCGAAGCGUGGGAUCAAACAGG
rnacentral:rRNA from 1 species